GUGCUCACUUCGGCAGCACAUAUAUUAGAAUUGGAACGUUCCAGAGAAGAUUAGCAUGGCCCCUGAGCGAGGAUGACAUGCAAAUUCGUGAAGCCUGCCAUAUAUAU
ensembl:snRNA U6 U6 spliceosomal RNA